CUACGGGCUGCACCAGUGGGGAAUAUUGCACAAUGGGCGCAAGCCUGAUGCAGCCAUGCCGCGUGUAUGAAGAAGGCCUUCGGGUUGUAAAGUACUUUCAGCGGGGAGGAAGGGAGUAAAGUUAAUACCUUUGCUCAUUGACGUUACCCGCAGAAGAAGCACCGGCUAACUCCGUGCCAGCAGCCGCGGUAAUACGGAGGGUGCAAGCGUUAAUCGGAAUGACUGGGCGUAAAGCGCACGCAGGCGGUUUGUUAAGUCAGAUGUGAAAUCCCCGGGCUCAACCUGGGAACUGCAUCUGAUACUGGCAAGCUUGAGUCUCGUAGAGGGGAGUAGAAUUCCAGGUGUAGCGGUGAAAUGCGUAGAGAUCUGGAGGAAUACCGGUGGCGAAGGCGGCCCCCUGGACGAAGACUGACGCUCAGGUGCGAAAGCGUGGGGAGCAAACAGGAUUAGAUACCCUCGUAGUC
rnacentral:rRNA from 1 species